rnacentral:rRNA from 1 species
AUGCACUGGCUUCGCUGAUUCCUCCUUUCUGAAAACUGUAAUGCCAUUAAUUUGGUGUUGCAGGGAAACAGGACUGUUACUUUGAAAAAAUUAUAGUGUUUAAAGCAGGCUAACGCUUGAAUACAUUAGCAUGGAAUAAUGAAAUAGGACGUUUGAUCCUAUUUUGUUGGUUUCUAGGAUUGACGUAAUGAUUAAUAGGGAUAGUUGGGGGCAUUAGUAUUCAAUUGUCAGAGGUGAAAUUCUUGGAUUUAUUGAAGACUGACUACUGCGAAAGCAUUUGCCAAGGAUGUUUUCAUUAAUCUUUAACGAAAGUUAGGGGAUCGAAGACGAUCAGAUACCGUCGUAGUCUUAACCAUAGACUAUGCCGACUAGGGAUCGGAUGAUGUUAAUUUUUUAAUGACUCAUUCGGCGCCUUACG